rnacentral:rRNA from 1 species
GUAGGGAAUAUUGGGCAAUGGACGAAAGUCUGACCCAGCCAUGCCGCGUGCAGGAUGAAAGCCUUAUGGGUUGUAAACUGCUUUUCUACGGGAAGAAAUUGCCCCUGCGGGGGAAGUUGACUGUACCGUAGGAAUAAGCACCGGCUAACUCCGUGCCAGCAGCCGCGGUAAUACGGAGGGUGCAAGCGUUGUCCGGAUUUAUUGGGUUUAAAGGGUGCGUAGGCGGCUGAUUAAGUCAGUGGUGAAAUCCUACAGCUUAACUGUAGAACUGCCAUUGAUACUGAUCAGCUUGAGUAUAGAUGAGGUAAGCGGAAUUUAUGGUGUAGCGGUGAAAUGCAUAGAUACCAUGAAGAACUCCAAUUGCGAAGGCAGCUUACUAAACUGUUACUGACGCUGAGGCACGAAAGCGUGGGGAGCGAACAGG